rnacentral:lncRNA from 1 species
UCCUCUGAGGCUCCUUAGUUUCCCAGGAGAGAAAUCCUGGCAAAGGGAAUUUCCCAGGAAGUGUGACGGUGAUAAAAGAGGUGUUCAAGAUGGAAUUUGGGCUCUGAUGCUACACACUCUGUUCCCUUGAGAUCUUCCAAGAGAUGAGGAUUUCCAGCUUCCUGUUUUGUUUAUCCUAGAAUCUGUCAAUGACCUGAAAGGAGGAUAAUCUUGUCUGUCAUCUCCUCUCAAAAGUCCAAGAAAAAUGAGUGCAUCAGAUAAAGCUCAUGUCUUACAUGAUUGUUUUUGUGUCAAGUUUUGGAUACACCCAUGCCAUUUUUUGGAUAUUUUCAGCUGAGGAUUCAUUGUACUCCUGUUACUCUGUGCCCCUGGAAAGGACUGGAAGAAGAUUAUCUGCCUUUCACAGAAGAAAGCAUUACAACUAUCAAAUGUGUGCUGUUCUCUUGGUGAUGUUAUUUGGCUGUUCAACCCUGACUGCGAGAUGCCUGCCCCUGUGGAUGUAAGUAAUCUUUUUCAAGCAGUCAAAGUUAGAUCACCAAUUUCCCUGCACUAAGUGGU